GACGAACGCUGGCGGCGUGCUUAACACAUGCAAGUCGAGCGGAAAGGCCCUUUCGGGGGUACUCGAGCGGCGAACGGGUGAGUAACACGUGAGUAAUCUGCCCUUGGCUUUGGGAUAACCACCGGAAACGGUGGCUAAUACCGGAUAUGACGCGCCCCGGCAUCGGGGUGUGUGGAAAGUUUUUUCGGCCAGGGAUGUGCUCGCGGCCUAUCAGCUUGUUGGUGGGGUAAUGGCCUACCAAGGCUUCGACGGGUAGCCGGCCUGAGAGGGUGACCGGCCACAGUGGGACUUAGACACGGCCCCGACUCCUGCGGGAGGCAGCAGUGGGGAAUAUUGGACAAUGGGCGGAAGCCUGAUCCAGCAACGCCGCGUGAGGGACGACGGCCUUCGGGUUGUAAACCUCUUUCAGUACCGACGAAGCGCCGAUGAUGGUGGUGACGGUAGGUACAGAAGAAGCACCGGCCAACUACGUGCCAGCCGCCGCGGUAA
rnacentral:rRNA from 1 species